UACGUAGGGUGCGCGCGUUGUCCGGAAUUAUUGGGCGUAAAGGGCUCGUAGGCGGUCUGUUGCGUCAGGAGUGAAAACUCGGGGCUUAACCCCGAGCCUGCUUCUGAUACGGGCAGACUAGAGUUCGGUAGGGGAGUCUGGAAUUCCUGGUGUAGCGGUGAAAUGCGCAGAUAUCAGGAGGAACACCGGUGGCGAAGGCGGGACUCUGGGCCGAUACUGACGCUGAGGAGCGAAAGCGUGGGGAGCAAACAGG
rnacentral:rRNA from 1 species